GUGUAAUGCCUUUCAACAUAAGAAGGAAGUCAUGCCAGUCAUCUAUUGUGUAUACCCCACCUAGUGCACUCUCAACAUAUAGUCCAAUAUAGUGUGAUAGAGAGUUUAAUAUCUUUAUUUGUGUUUUCUAAGUUGAUUGAAAUAAGUCUCUUAUGUAUAUAUCUUCUUGGGUUAAAGGGCUGCCAGGAUAAUAUACCUCUAUAUUAACCAAAAAGUACAAAUACACAAUCUGA